rnacentral:tRNA from 2 species
GGAUCGUUAGCUCAGUUGGCAGAGCAGCUGACUCUUAAUCAGCGGGUCGUAGGUUCGAGCCCUACACGGUCCACCA